rnacentral:tRNA from 2 species
UGCGGUAGUGGCGAAACUGGCAGACGCGCACGCUUGAGGGGCGUGUGGAGCAAUCCGUGCAGGUUCAAGUCCUGUCUACCGCAU